rnacentral:rRNA from 1 species
CUGAGGGGAUCAGCUCAUAGCGUAUAUUAAAGUUGUUGCAGUUAAAAAGCUCGUAGUUGAAUUUCGGGGUCAGUAGGUUGGUCGUGCCACAGGUAUGAACUGGUCUCACUGAUUCCUCCUUCCUGAUGAACCGUAAUGCCAUUAAUUUGGUGUUGUGGGGAGACUGGACUGUUACUUUGAAAAAAUUAGAGUGUUUAAAGCAGGCAAU